rnacentral:piRNA from 1 species
UGCUCUUCCUUCGCUGUGGUGUCAAGUCCC